rnacentral:rRNA from 1 species
UACGUAGGGUGCGAGCGUUGUCCGGAAUUAUUGGGCGUAAAGAGCUUGUAGGCGGUCUGUCGCGUCUGCUGUGAAAAUCCGAGGCUCAACCUCGGACUUGCAGUGGGUACGGGCAGACUAGAGUGUGGUAGGGGAGACUGGAAUUCCUGGUGUAGCGGUGGAAUGCGCAGAUAUCAGGAGGAACACCGAUGGCGAAGGCAGGUCUCUGGGCCAUUACUGACACUGAGAAGCGAAAGCAUGGGGAGCGAACAGG